rnacentral:rRNA from 1 species
AAAUUGAAGAGUUUGAUCAUGGCUCAGAUUGAACGCUGGCGGCAGGCCUAACACAUGCAAGUCGAACGGUAACAGGAAGCAGCUUGCUGCUUCGCUGACGAGUGGCGGACGGGUGAGUAAUGUCUGGGAAACUGCCUGAUGGAGGGGGAUAACUACUGGAAACGGUAGCUAAUACCGCAUAACGUCGCAAGACCAAAGGGGGGGACCUUCGGGCCUCUUGCCAUCGGAUGUGCCCAGAUGGGAUUAGCUUGUUGGUGGGGUAACGGCUCACCAAGGCGACGAUCCCUAGCUGGUCUGAGAGGAUGACCAGCCACACUGGAACUGAGACACGGUCCAGACUCCUACGGGAGGCAGCAGUGGGGAAUAUUGCACAAUGGGCGCAAGCCUGAUGCAGCCAUGCCGCGUGUAUGAAGAAGGCCUUCGGGUUGUAAAGUACUUUCAGCGGGGAGGAAGGGAGUAAAGUUAAUACCUUU